AAAUUUUCAGUAAAUUUUUAGUAUUAUCUUUCACUAUUGUACCUUUUAUUGUAGUGAUCCUUUGGACUAGAAUGUUUUCUAAACUGCCUUAUUCUUACUUUGGAUUUUAUCUUGUUAACUCCCUUCUUACCCAAUAGGUUCCAGGAUCCCAGAAGUCUUGCCUCAUUCACAGUCUGAAUGCUCUUCUGUUACUUAUCACACCAUAUUGCAGUAAUCUGUUCACAAGCCACUGGACCACCAGUGCUUCCAAAAACGACACACUGGAGUAAAUAUAGAAGGCUUCUUAUAAUUCAAGUUUCUGAGAACUGGGGGGAUCAAUACCUUGGGAACAUCUGUGACAUUUCUGAGGUACAGUAUAGAGGUUGGGAGUUCUAGCUUUAGAGUUAGUCGUCUGGUAAACAAGAAGUCAAAUGCAACAAAACAUAUCAGAUCAACCAAAAUGCCAGAGCACUAUGUUGAUAGAUGUUACACUACUCAAAACAGAUUAACUGCCUCCUCCUCUAUGCCCGUCAUGGAGUACAGUUGUUUUUGAAGGCAGGAAUGAAUUUAAUUAUAUAAUAAUAACAACUAACAUUUGAAUACUUUCUGGAAGUUUAAAGCACUGAUUCUCAAGUUUCAGUGUGUAUGAGACUUAUCUGGAGAAGUAGCUGAAAUGUAGAUUCCUGAACUAUACCCUCAGAAAUUCUGAUUCUUGGCAGUGGAGUUCAAGAAUCUGCAUUUUUAACAGGUAUCCAAAUGAUUCUAAUGUAGAUGUCUCUGGACCAUAUAUGUUAAGCAGCACUGGUUUCAAAUGUAAGAAAAAAAAUACUACAACCUUUAGUAAAACACUUUAAUACACUUUAUAGCUUGAUCCAAUUCACACACACACAUUUGUGUUGUGUGUGUGUGUGUGUGUGUGUAUUGCAGAGUUUCACAUACAUAUAUGUGAAUAUAUAUAUAUAUGACAGAAUUUCACAAAAUAAUACUAACCCUUACUAUGUGCUAUAUAGUGAUAUAUUUUCUACUUUACUCAAUUUCAUCAGAAAAACAUUGCUCAUGAUAACAUUGAUUUCACAUCAUUUAUCUCAUUUGAGCUUCAAAUCAGUGCUGCAAAGUGAAAAGUCAAAGUCGCUCAGUCGUGUCCAACUCUUUGCGAUCCCAUGAAGGUAAGCACCUUUAACUGCAUCUUUUUUCACUUGAAAGUUAAAUCUUGGAGAGGAUUAAAGUUCCC
rnacentral:lncRNA from 1 species